rnacentral:tRNA from 1 species
GGGGACAUAGCUCAGAGGUAGAGCACUUGCCUGGCAUGUAUGAGGACCUGGGUUCAAUCCCUACCUCCG